rnacentral:rRNA from 2 species
GGGUUGUGAGGUUAAGCGACUAAGCGUACACGGUGGAUGCCCUGGCAGUCAGAGGCGAUGAAGGGCGUGCUAAUCUGCGAUAAGCGCCGGUAAGGUGAUAUGAACCGUUAUAACCGGCGAUACCCGAAUGGGGAAACCCAGUGUGAUUCGUCACACUAUCAUUAACUGAAUCCAUAGGUUAAUGAGGCGAACCGGGGGAACUGAAACAUCUAAGUACCCCGAGGAAAAGAAAUCAACCGAGAUUCCCCCAGUAGCGGCGAGCGAACGGGGAGGAGCCCAGAGCCUGAAUCAGCAUAUGUGUUAGUGGAAGCGUCUGGAAAGGCGCGCGAUACAGGGUGACAGCCCCGUACACAAAAGCGCAUGUGCUGUGAGCUCGAUGAGUAGGGCGGGACACGUGGUAUCCUGUCUGAAUAUGGGGGGACCAUCCUCCAAGGCUAAAUACUCCUGACUGACCGAUAGUGAACCAGUACCGUGAGGGAAAGGCGAAAAGAACCCCGGCGAGGGGAGUGAAAAAGAACCUGAAACCGUGUACGUACAAGCAGUGGGAGCACAGGUUUACCUGUGUGACUGCGUACCUUUUGUAUAAUGGGUCAGCGACUUAUAUUCUGUAGCAAGGUUAACCGAAUAGGGGAGCCGGAGGGAAACCGAGUCUUAACCGGGCGUUAAGUUGCAGGGUAUAGACCCGAAACCCGGUGAUCUAGCCAUGGGCAGGUUGAAGGUUGGGUAACACUAACUGGAGGACCGAACCGACUAAUGUUGAAAAAUUAGCGGAUGACCUGUGGCUGGGGGUGAAAGGCCAAUCAAACCGGGAGAUAGCUGGUUCUCCCCGAAAGCUAUUUAGGUAGCGCCUCGUGAAUUCAUCUCCGGGGGUAGAGCACUGUUUCGGCUAGGGGGCCAUCCCGGCUUACCAACCCGAUGCAAACUGCGAAUACCGGAGAAUGUUAUCACGGGAGACACACGGCGGGUGCUAACGUCCGUCGUGAAGAGGGAAACAACCCAGACCGCCAGCUAAGGUCCCAAAGUCAUGGUUAAGUGGGAAACGAUGUGGGAAGGCCCAGACAGCCAGGAUGUUGGCUUAGAAGCAGCCAUCAUUUAAAGAAAGCGUAAUAGCUCACUGGUCGAGUCGGCCUGCGCGGAAGAUGUAACGGGGCUAAACCAUGCACCGAAGCUGCGGCAGCGACACUGUGUGUUGUUGGGUAGGGGAGCGUUCUGUAAGCCUGUGAAGGUGUGUCGUGAGGCAUGCUGGAGGUAUCAGAAGUGCGAAUGCUGACAUAAGUAACGAUAAAGCGGGUGAAAAGCCCGCUCGCCGGAAGACCAAGGGUUCCUGUCCAACGUUAAUCGGGGCAGGGUGAGUCGACCCCUAAGGCGAGGCCGAAAGGCGUAGUCGAUGGGAAACGGGUUAAUAUUCCCGUACUUGGUGUUACUGCGAAGGGGGGACGGAGAAGGCUAUGUUGGCCGGGCGACGGUUGUCCCGGUUUAAGCGUGUAGGUGUGUGUUCCAGGUAAAUCCGGUUCACUUUAACACUGAGGCGUGACGACGAGGCACUACGGUGCUGAAGCAACAAAUGCCCUGCUUCCAGGAAAAGCCUCUAAGCAUCAGGUAACACGAAAUCGUACCCCAAACCGACACAGGUGGUCAGGUAGAGAAUACCAAGGCGCUUGAGAGAACUCGGGUGAAGGAACUAGGCAAAAUGGUGCCGUAACUUCGGGAGAAGGCACGCUGAUAUGUAGGUGAAGCGGUUUACCCGUGGAGCUGAAAUCAGUCGAAGAUACCAGCUGGCUGCAACUGUUUAUUAAAAACACAGCACUGUGCAAACACGAAAGUGGACGUAUACGGUGUGACGCCUGCCCGGUGCCGGAAGGUUAAUUGAUGGGGUCAGCGCAAGCGAAGCUCCUGAUCGAAGCCCCGGUAAACGGCGGCCGUAACUAUAACGGUCCUAAGGUAGCGAAAUUCCUUGUCGGGUAAGUUCCGACCUGCACGAAUGGCGUAAUGAUGGCCAGGCUGUCUCCACCCGAGACUCAGUGAAAUUGAACUCGCUGUGAAGAUGCAGUGUACCCGCGGCAAGACGGAAAGACCCCGUGAACCUUUACUAUAGCUUGACACUGAACAUUGAGCCUUGAUGUGUAGGAUAGGUGGGAGGCUUUGAAGUGUGGACGCCAGUCUGCAUGGAGCCGACCUUGAAAUACCACCCUUUAAUGUUUGAUGUUCUAACGUGGACCCGUUACCCGGGUUGCGGACAGUGUCUGGUGGGUAGUUUGACUGGGGCGGUCUCCUCCUAAAGAGUAACGGAGGAGCACGAAGGUUGGCUAAUCCUGGUCGGACAUCAGGAGGUUAGUGCAAUGGCAUAAGCCAGCUUGACUGCGAGCGUGACGGCGCGAGCAGGUGCGAAAGCAGGUCAUAGUGAUCCGGUGGUUCUGAAUGGAAGGGCCAUCGCUCAACGGAUAAAAGGUACUCCGGGGAUAACAGGCUGAUACCGCCCAAGAGUUCAUAUCGACGGCGGUGUUUGGCACCUCGAUGUCGGCUCAUCACAUCCUGGGGCUGAAGUAGGUCCCAAGGGUAUGGCUGUUCGCCAUUUAAAGUGGUACGCGAGCUGGGUUUAGAACGUCGUGAGACAGUUCGGUCCCUAUCUGCCGUGGGCGCUGGAGAACUGAGGGGGGCUGCUCCUAGUACGAGAGGACCGGAGUGGACGCAUCACUGGUGUUCGGGUUGUCAUGCCAAUGGCACUGCCCGGUAGCUAAAUGCGGAAGAGAUAAGUGCUGAAAGCAUCUAAGCACGAAACUUGCCCCGAGAUGAGUUCUCCCUGAGACUUAAAGUCUCCUGAAGGAACGUUGAAGACGACGACGUUGAUAGGCCGGGUGUGUAAGCGCAGCGAUGCGUUGAGCUAACCGGUACUAAUGAACCGUGAGGCUUAACCUUACAACGCCGAAG